GUCUACGGCCAUACCACCCUGAACACGCCCAAUCUCGUCUGAUCUAGAAGCUAAGCAGGGUCGGGCCUAGUUAGUACUUGGAUAGGAGACCGCCUGGGAAUACCGGGUGCUGUAGGCU
rnacentral:rRNA from 1 species